AUUUAUAUAUGAGUGAUUAUGUAUCCCUGUUGUUUUUCAGUGUCUUCUCAGAAACCACCAGCCUUGAAGGCUACAAGUGACGAGAAAGAUUCUGUUUCGAAUAUAGCCACACAAAUAAAGGAUGGAGAAAAAUCUGGGACAGUGGUGCUAUCCCUAGGGCAGAGAAGACCCAGAGAAAGCCCAAGUGGCUGCUGGAACAAAGUCAGACACCGUGCCACCUGUCCACACUCAUUGGCUCUGCCAUCAUGCUGAAGAUCGGUUGAAAGGACUGGCUUCCCUCCCCCCAAAAUUAAAAGAGCACAAACUGAGAAACUGAAUGUGGGAGACAGCAGUGGAUUAUGCUGUUCUCAGGGGUCACCUCAGGUUUGGAAGCAUUCUUUCAAAUUAACCCAUCUCAGGCCAUCUGCAGAGAAGAAAGGUGGCACCUAACUUUUUUUCUUGUCAGCAUUUGGUAGGGGUGUUUUAUUAACCAAAUAUAUUCCCACAACCUAGUUUUUUGUAACUAAAUAUAGUAGAUUUUUAAAUUUUAUCAUCAAAAUCUAUAGACAAUUUUUUAUUAAAAUAGACUCCACAUCUAUGUCCUGCUUUUCUUCUUCUUAUUAAUUACAGUGCUGUAUAAAAGAACAAGACUUCAGAAUCAAGAAUAUCUUGUCUCUUGGCAUUGAAUUUAUACAAGGUGCUCUUUCUUUAAUGCUGUCUCAAAGGACAUAUUUUUAUUCAUUAAAAAGGAAGAUCGGAAUCUAGUUGUAUGCACUGCUCCAACAUAUUAAUACAUAAAAUUAGGAGGUAAAUGUGGUCAAAGCUAUAGAAAGACUUGAGAUGUCAUUUAUAUUGAUUACUGUAUAGCACUCUACAAACAGAAAUUGUUAAAUAAUAGUUUAUAUAAAUAUUUUGUAGCAUUUCAAAUAUUUGAGUGCCUGAAGUUUCUCCUCUUACAUAGUUCAGAUUAUCAAUUUGGAGACUUACUCCGCUAGUUAAAAUGUUUUUAGUCUCGUUUGAGUAUUAUAUAAAAGCAAUUUUCAGUUAAAUGUGUUCCGCUUACAUAAAACAUUACAAAUUAGUGAGUAUUUAAUUACAUUUUCAUGUUCCUGUAAUGUCUUUAGAAGAUUUUCAUAUUACCUAUCAAUAUAUGUAUGCUUUGUCCAAGAAAAAUCAAACAUAUAUAUAAUUGAAAUGGAAACUUUUUAAAAGUACUUAUUAAUUCCAUUGAAAAACCACAUCCAUAGGAACAAUUACAAUAUAAUAUUGUGAACAUGUAAAUAUAUAUCCUAUUUUAUAUAUAAGCAUAUAUGAUUACAAAUAUAGUUAAGAAUUUUUAAACCUAGUAUUAUAAAGUAAAAAUUAGUUAAACUUCUGAUGAUUAUUUAUUAAUGAAGAUAAAAUUAUUUUGAUUUGGG
rnacentral:lncRNA from 1 species